rnacentral:rRNA from 1 species
GUGAGGAAUAUUGGUCAAUGGGCGAGAGCCUGAACCAGCCAAGUCGCGUGAAGGAAGAAGGAUCUAUGGUUCGUAAACUUCUUUUGCAGGGGAAUAAAGUGCGGGACGUGUCCUGUUUUGUAUGUACCCUGAGAAUAAGGAUCGGCUAACUCCGUGCCAGCAGCCGCGGUAAUACGGAGGAUCCGAGCGUUAUCCGGAUAUAUUGGUUUUAAAGGGUGCGUAGGUGGUUUGAUAAGUCAGCGGUGAAAGUUUGCAGCUUAACUGUAAAAAUGCAGUUGAAACUGUCGGACUUGAGUGUAAAUGAGGUAGGCGGAAUGCGUGGUGUAGCGGUGAAAUGCAUAGAUAUCACGCAGAACUCCGAUUGCGAAGGCAGCUUACUAAGCUACAACUGACACUGAAGCACGCAAGCGUGGGGAUCAAACAGGAUUAGAUACCCCAGUAGUCC